GUCUACGGCCAUGCCACCCUGAACAAGCCCGAUGUCUGAUCUCGGAAGCUAAGCAGCGUCCUGGUUAGUACUUGUAUGGGAGACCACCUAGGAAGACCAGGUGCUGUAGGCA
rnacentral:rRNA from 1 species